AAAUCACAAUGCGGGACUCAUAGUCUUGCAAUUGGAUUGAGAACAACGUACAACUCUUAUCGAUAAGCCAUUGGAGGGCAAGUCUGGUGCCAGCAGCCGCGGUAAUUCCAGCUCCAAUAGCGUAUAUUAACGUUGUUGCAGUUAAAAAGCUCGUAGUUGAAGUGAGGGAGUGUGUGGGUAUGAGAGCUAGUCUCAAGUGCUCACAACCUCCCCCCUCCAAUCGGUGUAGUGGGGUAUUCAGUUAUUUCACUACUCCUUUGGUCGUUUACUGUGAGAAAAUUAGAGUGUUCAAAGCGGGCGUUUGUUUGAAUAGAUUAGCAUGGAAUAAUGAUUGAAGGCUUUCGUGUUCGAUUUGAUUGGUUUGUUCAUGGAAGCAAGGUUAAAAGGAACAGUUGGGGGUAUUCAUAUUCACUAGUUAGAGGUGAAAUUCUCGGAUUUAUGGAAGAUGA
rnacentral:rRNA from 1 species